CGUAGGGGCAAGCGUUAUCCGGAAUCAUUGGGCGUAAAGGGUGCGUAGGCGGCCCUAUGGGUCAGAGGUUAAAGGCUACGGCUCAACCGUAGUAAGCCUUUGAAACUGUAGGGCUUGAGUGCAGGAGAGGAGAGUGGAAUUCCUAGUGUAGCGGUGAAAUGCGUAGAUAUUAGGAGGAACACCAGUGGCGAAGGCGACUCUCUGGACUGCAACUGACGCUGAGGCACGAAAGCGUGGGUAGCGAACAGGAUU
rnacentral:rRNA from 1 species